rnacentral:rRNA from 1 species
UGUGCCAGCAGCCGCGGUAAUACAGAGGGUGCAAGCGUUAAUCGGAAUUACUGGGCGUAAAGCGAGCGUAGGUGGCUUGAUAAGUCAGAUGUGAAAGCCCCGGGCUUAACCUGGGAACGGCAUCUGAUACUGUUAGGCUAGAGUAGGUGAGAGGAAGGUAGAAUUCCAGGUGUAGCGGUGAAAUGCGUAGAGAUCUGGAGGAAUACCGAUGGCGAAGGCAGCCUUCUGGCAUCAUACUGACACUGAGGUUCGAAAGCGUGGGUAGCAAACAGGAUUAGAUACCCUGGUAGUCCACGCCGUAAACGGUGUCUACUAGUCGUUGGGUCCCUUGAGGACUUAGUGACGCAGCUAACGCAAUAAGUAGACCGCCUGGGGAGUACGCCCGCAAGGUUAAAACUCAAAUGAAUUGACGGGGGCCCGCACAAGCGGUGGAGCAUGUGGUUUAAUUCGAUGCAACGCGAAGAACCUUACCUGGUCUUGACAUAUCUAGAAUCCUGCAGAGAUGCGGGAGUGCCUUCGGGAAUUAGAAUACAGGUGCUGCAUGGCUGUCGUCAGCUCGUGUCGUGAGAUGUUGGGUUAAGUCCCGCAACGAGCGCAACCCUUGUCCUUAGUUACCAGCGGUUUGGCCGGGAACUCUAAGGAUACUGCCAGUGACAAACUGGAGGAAGGCGGGGACGACGUCAAGUCAUCAUGGCCCUUACGACCAGGGCUACACACGUGCUACAAUGGUAGGUACAGAGGGCAGCUACACAGCGAUGUGAUGCGAAUCUCAAAAAGCCUAUCGUAGUCCAGAUUGGAGUCUGCAACUCGACUCCAUGAAGUAGGAAUCGCUAGUAAUCGCGGAUCAGAAUGCCGCGGUGAAUACGUUCCCGGGCCUUGUACACACCGCCCGUCACACCAUGGGAGUUGAUUGCACCAGAAGUGGUUAGCCUAACCUUUUAGGAAGGCGAUCACCACGGUGUGGUUGAUGACUGGGGUGAAGUCGUAACAAGGUAACCGA